rnacentral:rRNA from 1 species
AUUGAACGCUGGCGGCAGGCCUAACACAUGCAAGUCGAGCGGAUGAAGGGAGCUUGCUCCUGGAUUCAGCGGCGGACGGGUGAGUAAUGCCUAGGAAUCUGCCUGGUAGUGGGGGAUAACGUCCGGAAACGGGCGCUAAUACCGCAUACGUCCUGAGGGAGAAAGUGGGGGAUCUUCGGACCUCACGCUAUCAGAUGAGCCUAGGUCGGAUUAGCUAGUUGGUGGGGUAAAGGCCUACCAAGGCGACGAUCCGUAACUGGUCUGAGAGGAUGAUCAGUCACACUGGAACUGAGACACGGUCCAGACUCCUACGGGAGGCAGCAGUGGGGAAAAUUGGACAAUGGGCGAAAGCCUGAUCCAGCCAUGCCGCGUGUGUGAAGAAGGUCUUCGGAUUGUAAAGCACGUUAAGUUGGGAGGAAGGGCAGUAAGUUAAUACCUUGCUGUUUUGACGUUACCAACAGAAUAAGCACCGGCUAACUUCGUG